UCAGCGAUGAAGGCGAGGACUGUGACCUAUGGUCAGGCAGACUUUCCUGAAACGGCCUUGGAAUGUCGGCUGGGCGCCUGCCGCGACUCCGAUUGCUUCUCUCAGAAGUUGCUCUCGAGAGAAAAUCAGGGUUCCAAGGAAGGCGAAUUCCAGAAUGCUCCCGUUGUAUGUCUUUGCAGUGGAGCAAGUGGAAAGAUGCCAGCCUCACUCAGUCCUCAACCUCAGGGGGUCUCAGGAGCCCGAGCUGCGUGCCCACCACCCAGCUGCUGCCUCAUUUGGGCUUGCUCCCCGGAAGCGUCACGGAGCAGAGUGCUCAGGAGCCCAGGCUCUGGUUCAAACCCUUGCUCUUAACACUUCUGGGACAUGUGAUCUUCGUAAAGGGUACGGUCGUCUUGUGCCUCAGUUUUCUUCUCUGCCUAGUGGGGAUAAUCGUCAGUCUACCAGCUGAGCUGCUGAGAAGUGGGAACAAGCUCACAUACGCCAAAUGUGGAGGCCACACCAGCACAGUAGAGCAUGCUGUGGACGUCCAGGCUACUACUCUUGGAGGAACCCAGGAAGAGUUUGCUGGUCUGUGCAGAGAGAAGCAUGGAGAAGCAUGGCAAAGAGCUGGAGGUCAUGCAGAUCCUCGCCAGGGUAAAUGACAGCAUAGCCAGGCACCUUGGUUCCCAGCCUGAUGACCCUCUCCAUGCAAACUCUAUUUCUGCAAGUAACCAAUCCUUCUAGCCGAGAAGCCAGGGAUCAUUUGUUGAUGAGUCAGAUCAUUAUUGUUAUUCUGAUGCUCUUCAAAUACCCGGAAAUGUUGUAAGAUUUUAAUUUCAGAAAAAUUUAUUGAUUCAACAGGGAAGAAACAUUCUGGUGCUGAACUAUGGCCUCUGAUUUUUCAGAGCCUUUUUGUUUGACAAUGUUAUUCAUUUGAUGACUUUGUAAUCUCCUCUUAAGGUUAACUGCUUGCAUUUCUUUUGCUUUGUUAAUUGCACUUAGUACAUGCAACAGAGAUGACCUCUGUAGAAAACUCUCGGCUGUGUCCACAUGUAACUGGUGGUGACAUUGGUGGAGUGGGGUCAGAUUGGCACUUGGCCAAAACAAAUCUCCUCUCUUGACAAAAACAGCUGAAGAGAUAGUCAUUGGCCUGUUUUGUGUAGUUUGGGUGAUUUUUCAUUGGUUGAAGGAAGAUGUUUAUGCAAGCAUUCCCAGGUUAGUGAGAGGAGGAAAAAAAAUUUAAUGACUCUAACAUGUAUCAGUGAGGAUCCAGUCCCCAAACCAGAAGUUAUCCUAGGUGUUCCCAUAGAGGGAAUUUCAUAUAGGAAAUUGAGUUCAUUGAAGAUUAAGAAAAAAAAAAAGCCAAACAGCAGAAGGCUGCUAGCACCCCUGGGACUGUGAGGACAAUGGGAGGGAUGUGGUCUCCUGAACCAGAACGUGGGACCAGCCACAGAAACUGGAAUGAUGGUGGGGGUCUCCUUGCUGGGAGCUAGGACCACCGAGAGACUGUGCAAAAUGGAGCCAUGGUGAGGCCAAAGCCACUGCCUGCAACGGUGACAAUGCCAGAGCUAGUCAGACACCGAGAGAUACCCUGGCCUUGUGUCUUCUAUCCUCAUGUCUUCCACCAGCAUCUUAUCAUUCCAUCCCUGUCUGGAAGCUAAGCUGGUCAGGACCCUGGGAAUGUGGUUUCCUGUGAUGCAGAGCAGAGCAAGGGAUAGUGAGGCUGCAAAGAUCAAGGAGUGGGUGUUAAGUCCAGCCCAUAAUGUGAACAUACUACCUCGAUGUUCAGCAGUUCAUCCAUUCAAUUGUUUGUUCAUUAAGUUGUCAGAUAAUCUAUGCACAAAAAGAUUUGUUUCUACUUCAUGCACAAAAUAAUCAGCUAUAACGUUAAAAUAUACUUGGAACUUUUACAGUUGUUCCAAAUAUUAUUCUGAGUAAGUUUUUGUUGUUGUUGUUG
rnacentral:lncRNA from 1 species